rnacentral:rRNA from 1 species
AGACAGCAGCAGCCACGGGAAUACGAAGGGUGCAAGCGUUAAUCGGAAUUACUGGGCGUAAAGCGUGCGUAGGCGGUGAGUUAAGUCUGCUGUGAAAUCCCCGGGCUCAACCUGGGAAUGGCAGUGGAUACUGGCUCGCUAGAGUGUGUCAGAGGAUGGUGGAAUUCCCGGUGUAGCGGUGAAAUGCGUAGAGAUCGGGAGGAACAUCAGUGGCGAAGGCGGCCAUCUGGGACAACACUGACGCUGAGGCACGAAAGCGUGGGGAGCAAACAGGAUUAGAUACCCCGGUAGUCCCUGUCUCUUAUAC